AGGAGCUAGAUGGGGAGAGAUGGUUUUGGGAAUGCUUCCAGGAGCACCGGUGUUCACAGAUUUCCUGGGAAUAGGAGUAGGAGAAAGGUGAAGAAAGUCAGAGGGAUGGCCAGUAGAAGCUGGACACAGGAGGUUGUAGGCUUGGGGGAGGAGGGAGAUCUGGUUUAAGGCAUUCUUUAAUAUGUUGGGGCAUCAUAUUGGACCAAAUUGGAGUCUGUAGAGAACCUGGUGAGAGAGGGAGUCAUGGGCUCUGUCCCAGCCUCUGUUAGUCUAUCCAUAAAUUUGGGACAGAUGAAGGCAAUGGUAUGUGAGGUGGGGCCAAGGUGUUCUUUCAUCUCUCAUGUUUCUGAAGAUACUUUACCUGGGUUUGACCCGAGUUGCCUCGCUCCCUCUUCUUCGAAUUCCAGUUUCCAGGGAAGUAGAAUGGGAGGCCCAGACAGCACAAUCUACUUUUUGGAUGUCAGCAGAUGUUAUGCAUAGGAGGAAAAGCCUUUAUGAUUUUUCUCACAGGAAACUGUUCGAGCUAGAUUCUUCAGUUAUUCAAGAUAUUUGCCUACCCAGCCUGGAGAGCUGAGUUUGAUCCUUGGAGCCCAGGGAAAAGAUGAAAGGAGAUGGCUAACUCCAUAACAUUGUGCCCUGGAUGCAAAUGCUUUUUAGUCCUGAACCUGUAAAAUCUAACCAAUGUAUAUUCCUCCAAUACACAGAUAGACAUGAGUGGGAAUGAAACUCAGGGCUUUACUCCUGCAAGGCAAGCAGUCCAUCGCUGAACUGCACCCACCGCUGAACUGCACCCCACCACUGAACUGCACCCCACCGCUGAACUGCACCCCAUCACUGAACUGCACCCCACCAUUGAACUGCACCCCACCGCUGAACUGCACCCCACUGUUGAACUGCACCCCAUCACUGAACUGCACCCCACCACUGAACUGCACCCCACCGCUGAACUGCACCCACCGCUGAACUGCACCCCACCACUGAACUGCACCCACCGCUGAACUGCACCCCAAGCAGAGCUUGCUUUAUGGUGCAGCUGUGAUUACUGCGAUCACUGACUGUCGUUCCUGCCAGCGGGCUCCAUUUGGACAUCUAGAAUCAUCCCCGACAUGACUCAUCUUGAACCCCAAGCUUCUGCAGCAUUGUCUCUCUCAGUAGAUGACAACUGGAUUCCUCAGAAACUCAGGACAAAAAUCUUGGAGUCAUCUUGCUCUUUCUUUUUUUCUCUCACAUCCCAAAUAGAAUUCAUUAGGAAAUCCAUUCUCUCUCCCUGGAAUACAUUCAGAGUGUGGCCACUGUGGCCUUUGCCUGUGUCACCCUGACUGGACCCUCCACAUUGUCUUCUUGCUUCUAUCCAGUUUGAUCUGUGCUUUGCCUUCAACACAGCAUCCAGAAGGUUCUUGACACUUGAGUUAAGUCACGUUUGCUAAUGCUCUGACUUCCUGUCUUUUUGUUGAGACCUGAUGGCCUGUGAACUGCCUUCCCACACCUGUUCCUCUGCUUAUCUCCACCAUGUUGGUUGUUCUCAGAUGUGCCAAACACUUCUCUGUCUGAAGGACUUUCUACUACUGUUGCCUUUGCCGUAGCAAAAACAGAUUAUUUUUUUUCUCUUUAGAAAAUAAUUAAAUAAGAAUUUCUGUCCUGUUCUCCUCAUCACCUUUAAAUUUUCUUUCACGUGUAUGGGAUUUUGUCUGCAUGAAUAUCUGUGCACCACAUGCAUGAAGUGCCUGUGGAGGCUAGAAGAGGACAGUAGAGCCCCGGACUGGAAUUACAGAUAGUUGUGAGUUGGGGAUAAAGCUCUGGUCCUCUAGAAGAGCAACUAGUGCUCUUAG
rnacentral:lncRNA from 1 species